AUUGAACGCUGGCGGCAUGCCUUACACAUGCAAGUCGAACGGCAGCACGGGUGCUUGCACCUGGUGGCGAGUGGAGAACGGGUGAGUAAUACAUCGGAACGUACCUUAUCGUGGGGGAUAACGCAGCGAAAGCUGUGCUAAUACCGAAUACGCCCUGAGGGGGAAAACAGGGGAACGAAAGACUACGCGCGAUUAGAGCGGCCGAUGCCUGAUUAGCUUGUUUGUGGUGUAAAAGCCCACCAAGGCGACGAUCAGUAGCUGGUCUGAGAGGACGAUCAGCCACACUGGGACUGAGACACGGCCCAGACUCCUACGAGAGGCAGCAGUGGGGAAUUUUGGACAAUGGGGGCAACCCUGAUCCAGCAAUGCCGCGUGAGUGAAGAAGGCCUUCGGGUUGUAAAGCUCUUUUGUCAGGGAAGAAACACCGGCUCUAACACAGUCCGGGAAUGACGGUACCUGAAGAAUAAGCACCGGCUAACUACGUGCCAGCCGCCGCCGUAG
rnacentral:rRNA from 1 species